rnacentral:lncRNA from 1 species
ACCGAGUAUCACUUUCAAAAUCACUAAAAAUUCUUCAAGACGCCUUCACACAACUAGAAAAAAAUUAUAAGAGCCCCACGACCUCCGGAACAACCCCUAAGCUACCCUUAUCGCCCCUAAAUAAAAAAAAAAAAAAUCGAAGACGGCCGAGUAUCACUUUCAAAAUCACUGAAAAUGCUUCAAGACGCCUGAACACAACUAGAAAAAAAUUAUAAAAGCCCCACGACCUCCGGAACAACCCCUAAGCUACCCUUAUCGGCCCUAAGCAAAAAAAAAUUCAAAAAAAAUCGAAAAUGACCGAGUAUCACUUUCAAAAUCACU